CCUACGGGACGCAGCAGUGAGGAAUAUUGGUCAAUGGGCGCGAUCCUGAACCAGCCAAGCCGCGUAAGGGAAGACGGCCCUAUGGGUUGUAAACCUCUUUUGUCGGGGAACAAAAGCCGGCACGUGUCCCGGUCUGCGAGUAUCCGAAGAAAAAGCAUCGGCUAACUCCGUGCCAGCAGCCGCGGUAAUACGGAGGAUGCGAGCGUUAUCCGGAUUUAUUGGGUUUAAAGGGUGCGCAGGCGGACCGUUAAGUCAGCGGUAAAAUUGAGGGGCUCAACCCCGUCGAGCCGUUGAAACUGGC
rnacentral:rRNA from 1 species